rnacentral:tRNA from 1 species
GAGAGAGACAUAGUGGUUAUGACAUUGGCUUGAAACCAGUCCAAGAAGGUUCGAUUCCUUCCUCUCUUA